UGUAAUCAUUUAAUCAAUUAUAGAUAAAGGAAAUGAAAGCAAGAACAUAGUGAUGUACGGGGAAAUCCCUUAAUCCUUUAAGAUCGUCAGCAUAAAACCUCAGGCGGUGAUAAAAUCACAUGCCUUUUAACUUAUGUUAAAUAAAUAAUAAUAAUUACAUGUGUUAGCCGAUCUUAGAAAAAUGUGAUUGUGCUCAAGAUUCGAAAGAAUCAGAGAGGAAGAAGUGAAUGUGUUUGUGUGAAUAUGAUCAACUAGUCUUUUUAUACAUAAUGAUAAUAACUAAAAUUUCGAGAAUAUUGGGAUUCUCUUUGAUCCUUUAUUGACCCGAAUUUAUUGAAGGUCUUCAACGUUCUUCAAGUAUUGACCAUGUGUUAUUGACUUGGUCUAUUUCUUUUCCGUUAAGCCUUGAUUCCCUACACAAGUUCUCAUAGAAAAUAUAGUGGCAUGCUAAGAUACUGAAUAAAUUCAAGAUCUUGGGCUUGCACGGGAUGUUAGUUCAAGUUCAAGAUAUAAUAAGUCAAAAUUUAUACCUACAACAAUUGCCCCCAGAAAUCUUCAAUCCAAGAUUCUGGUGAUUGGAGAUUUCUAAGCGUGAAAUUUUCUCAACAAGUUAAGAUGCGGCUCGACACGUCUCUCCAAGACCGAUCCUGUCAGUCUGUUUAUUUAGGAGAUUUGAAUUUUUGAAGGGCCAUGAACUUUAGAACAGAGCCUCAUAUAAAUCUGAGCUACUACCUUCAUUAUGCUACAAUCAUAAUGAAGACAGUUAUAAGGGUCAUCGUUGGGUAUAACAUGAACUACUUGAUAGGAGUAUGUAGUCAAGAUGGACAUCUAAGACCUUACUAAAAAGUUGAACACCACAUGACAUUGACCGCGAUCCAUAUUUCAUGUUCAACUUGGUGUCUGAGGCAAAGGAAUAACUGAUACCACACCUUAGUAACAAUUGUAGCUUUGAUCUCCUGAAAUUGGUUGUUGAUGAAAUGUUGCCCUUCGUAUGUUGUUAGGGGCAGUAGCUGGUGGGCGUCGAGACCACCAAAUAAAAAAAAACCUCAAUACGACGACAUACAAAAAUGAAUUGUAAUAGCGGUAAAAGGGAUCGAAUCCACAUGGAUUGGUUCGAAUCAAAUCUAUGCAUUUAGUUUCUACGAAAUAAAAAAAAAUAUAAAAUGAUAUGGGGGUUUUCAAAUGUUAAAUGCGAUAAAAAACUAUUUUAUAAAAAUAACAAAAAUGGAAAAAUACAAAAUCUAUAAUAUAAAACGUUCCAAUAUCGGGAUAAAUCACAAGUUCAAUUAGUUGACUAAUCAUCAUAAUUUUGUGGUGCAAUGAGUUUAAUGGAUACUAAUUUGGCUAUAGCAAUCUAAGAAGCUUGAGAUCACCUAGACUUUUCUUAGUUAAUACAAUGGUUAGAGAAGCUCAUAACACAUUUUCUUAGUUAAAGUCAUAAUUUCCAUAAAGCAUGUAAUUAAUGAAAAUUAACUAGCAUUAAGAUUUAAAAGUCACCAAAUCCAAGAGGAGUCAAAAUGCUUUCACUACCAUGGUGGAGAAAAUAUUUUCAUGAUUGUGUGAAAGAAAAACAAUCACAAAAACCAUUUGUUGCUUGUUAAUUUGAAGAUCUAUUACGUAAUCAAGAAAUUAACCAACUAAUUAAACAUUCACAUAUCUAAACUCAUGAUUAAAGACAUAUGAACAUCAAUAGAUGUUUCACUAGAAAAUAUUUCAUAGCAUGCCAUCAAAACCACAUAAAACUAUUCCUAAUCAAUUAAUUGUUCCAUAGAUUCACCCAAUAUUGAAAAUAAAAACUAACACAUAAUAAUAAUAACAAUAAAAAGGAUAGAAAUUAUACCAAUACCGAUUACGAAACGAAGAUGACAAAGCUUCUUGAAAUCGUCACUUCUUGUUGCUCCAAAAACUUCAUCCAUAAUCCAAGUAUUAAUACAAAAAUUAACCUAAUCUAAUUACAAAGAUAAAUGAAUCACAAGACAAUAAAAUCAAUGAUAAAGAUAUCAAUGAUAAUAGUGUUUAAUUUCCAAAAAUAAAGAAAGAAGAAUCAGGGAGAAAAACCCCAAGAAGAGGCGUCGCCCACUUCUUUUCUUCUGCCGGCAAAAAAAUGAAGAUGCCCUACUGUUUUUGUGCCCUUGAUUUGCU
rnacentral:lncRNA from 1 species